AUGGAGGAGCACGUGGACUCCACCGCCUAAGUGAACACAAUUGCCCACAAGUCCCUAUAUAACUAGGUUUUCCACUUUAGUCCUCUACAAUAUAAAUCUUGAGUUUCAAAAUUCGUUUUUACGUCUGUUUUGCGCAAAACGUCUCCAACUCAAUCAAGCAUAAACUUAUACUGUAACCUUGCCAAUUUACUAAGAUUCAGUAUAUCACAUAUAUAAAAACUUUUAUCCAAGAUUUGUUAACAAUAAUAUAAAUAUUGGCUAAAAAAUAAUAGUUUAGUGAUAUCUGUGAGAAAAAAAAAUAUUAUAUGGUAGAAAAAUAAUAAUAAAUUUAAUAUACAGUGUGGGAAUUAAUAAAAUAUAAUAAUAUAACGGUGUCUUUGGCAAAAAAAAGAAAUUACAUAAUAUAGCAAAUAAAAAUUACAUAAUGAAG
rnacentral:lncRNA from 1 species